rnacentral:rRNA from 1 species
GUGAGGAAUAUUGGUCAAUGGGCGCAAGCCUGAACCAGCCAUGCCGCGUGCAGGAAGACGGUCCUAUGGAUUGUAAACUGCUUUUAUUUGGGAAUAAACUCCGGUACGUGUACCGGCCUGAAGGUACCAAAUGAAUAAGCACCGGCUAACUCCGUGCCAGCAGCCGCGGUAAUACGGAGGGUGCAAGCGUUAUCCGGAAUCAUUGGGUUUAAAGGGUCCGCAGGCGGUCUUAUAAGUCAGUGGUGAAAGCCUACAGCUCAACUGUAGAACUGCCAUUGAUACUGUAGGACUUGAAUUCGAUCGAAGUGGGCGGAAUGUGACAUGUAGCGGUGAAAUGCUUAGAUAUGUCACAGAACACCGAUAGCGAAGGCAGCUCACUAGGUCUGGAUUGACGCUCAGGGACGAAAGCGUGGGGAGCAAACAGGAUUAGAAACCCUGGUAGUCC